UACGUAGGGUGCGAGCGUUGUCCGGAAUUAUUGGGCGUAAAGGGCUCGUAGGCGGUUUGUCGCGUCGGGAGUGAAAACACUGGGCUUAACUCAGUGCUUGCUUCCGAUACGGGCAGACUAGAGGUAUUCAGGGGAGAACGGAAUUCCUGGUGUAGCGGUGAAAUGCGCAGAUAUCAGGAGGAACACCGGUGGCGAAGGCGGCUCACUGGUCCGAUACUGACGCUGAGGCGCGAAAGCUAGGGUAGCAAACGGG
rnacentral:rRNA from 1 species